GACGAACGCUGGCGGCGUGCUUAACACAUGCAAGUCGAACGGUGAAGCGCCUUCCUUUUUGGUGGGUGUGGAUGAGCGGCGAACGGGUGAGUAACACGUGAGUAACCUGCCCCCUUCUUCUGGAUAACCGCAUGAAAGUGUGGCUAAUACGGGAUAUUCUGGGUCUGUCGCAUGAUGGGUCUGGGAAAGAUAUUGUUUCGGUGGGGGAUGGGCUCGCGGCCUAUCAGCUUGUUGGUGGGGUGAUGGCCUACCAAGGCGGUGACGGGUAGCCGGCCUGAGAGGGUGGACGGUCACACUGGGACUGAGACACGGCCCAGACUCCUACGGGAGGCAGCAGUGGGGAAUAUUGCACAAUGGGCGCAAGCCUGAUGCAGCGACGCCGCGUGAGGGAUGGAGGCCUUCGGGUUGUGAACCUCUUUCGCCAGUGAAGCAGGCCUGCCUCGUUUGUGGGUGGGUUGACGGUAGCUGGAUAAGAAGCGCCGGCUAACUACGUG
rnacentral:rRNA from 1 species